UUUCAGCUUCCACCAUGGGAUGAUACAGCAUGAAGGCCCUCACCAGAUAUGCACCCCUUGAUUUUGGACUUCCCAGACUCCAGAACUAAUCUGGGCUAUCCCUGUGACUUGCUUUGACUAACGGAAUGUGACAGAAUGACGUUGUGCAACAUCCAAAUCAGGACUUAAGAAACUGUAGGCAGCCAUCAUGCUGUGAACGCAAGCUGUGUGGAGAGACUAAGUGGAGGUGAAUGGAGUCAGUUCAGUCAACAGCCCUACCUGAUAUUUCAGUCCAUAACUAGCCCUGUGUGUCAGCCCUGUGAACAGGUCGUCUUGGACUUUUCACCCCAGUUGAGAAUAAUGACUACAUCCUCAGCUGAUAGCACAUGGAACAGAGGAACUACCUAGCUUAGCUGGGCCCAUAUUGCAGAAUUGUGAGAGAUCAUGAAAAGUUG
rnacentral:lncRNA from 1 species